CUCAGACCAAUGUGAUACCUUGUCUAGCUGCUCAGUGCUGUGCACAGUGAUCUAAACUUCUUGGAAAAUAACAUGGAGUUUGCACAAAAAAGGAGGUCACCAAUCCAGCUCCAGCUCAUAGCUUUCAAAGCCCUCAACAGACCUUAUGAACAACUCGGGGCUCAGCGCGUGUAAGUCUGUCACUGCCAAAUAAAACAUUCAGAGCACUUCAGCACAUAUAAGCAGCAGCCACACAACAAGCAAGAACUGAGGAGGCAAUCAAUCACAAGAGAAAAACCUGGCUGGCUGGGCCAUGCACAGAGCUUCCUGGAUGUUUGUGGGGAGACCAGAGGUUAUGUGAAGAGGACAAACAGAAUGAAAAAUCCUCCCUGGCCUGAUUGAGAAUGACAGAUUUGUGAAGUGAAAUUCAUUGGCUCAUCUACGAAAGGUGUUUUGUAAACUCCCUUUGACAAUUAGAAUUGAGAGAUCGGAGAAAGAGUGGUUAUCUUGUGAGAAAUGUGCCGCACAGUGCUGAACAACAAGGUGGAUUAUGAAGUCCUAAGUGUUCACAUGGAGAAGGCCAAGGAGCUCUAGCCGCUCCUUCAGGAAGAAGAAAAAGAAAACAAACAGAAGUACUGGCGGAUCUGUAAGCAUCCACCGUCUGGCAGUGGACUUGGCAGCACGUGGAUUUUCUUUGGAGGUUAUUAAUCCUCAAUUCCCUCCUUGAGUGUCACAGGCGAAUGCUGGAGUCAGACAGGCAAACGCCAGUCUAGGCAUCAUGCAAAUGAGACAGCACCUUCCAAACAUCAAUAAACGGGUCCCUGAAGAGAUGCUCACAAUGGCACAUAUUUUGCCUUCCCCACCUCUUCCAACUUGAAUUCUUCAAACUCAUAAAUACGCAAGUGAGAGUGCUCCAUGUUUGGUUUUUUUGUUCCCUCAUCUUUGUUUCAACAAAUCCUACAAACCCCUCCGUGCAGAACCUCCAGAAUCAGAACCUGAGAAUGAGAACUCUUCAGGACAAGAACCAGGUUUAUUAUGUGUUUCUGUAACAUUAAACAGUAGAGCACUGUUCCCUGUAGAUUUGGGGCACUAGCUUAAUGCUAAAAAAAGACCCUACACACUCUGCAAAGUAUAUAGUAAGCCUGCAACCAUUCACUAUUUCACAAAUGAUAUAAAUCCCUUAUAAUUUAAUUGGUUGGAUGUUUACAUCCAUUAGGAAGAUUUAAGAUUGUAAUUUUAACUUCUCUAUUUGCCAGCACAGAAAUACUCUGCAGACAAAAACUACAUAACAGUGUCUGGAAGUAUCUUUGAAAUGAAAGGGGAAGAAAUACAAGAGAUAAGUUGUAGUUGGUGAGAGACCAAUAAACACACUGUAAAUUAUAAAGGUUUGAACAUGAAACACUCAGCCUUGCCUGGCUAUUCCAGAAAUGGAAAAAGAGAGAGGCUCUUAACAUCCAAAUAGGGUGAGAAGACAAUGUUCCAACAAAUGGAUCAAAAGUGGGAAACAAAUGUUUUUCAUGUCCAACUAGUUUUGAAAAUGAAAACUGGGUUAGAGAAAGGAAUUAAAACAUGGAAAGCUGAAAAAGAUUCCCAUGAUGUUUUAUAGUUUCACUUAAAUCCACAUUAUGUUCUGCUGUCAGGAAACAUCCUGUGUAUUUUCUGUGGCUUACA